AUUGAACGCUGGCGGCAGGCCUAACACAUGCAAGUCGAACGGAGUGGCGGACGGGUGAGUAAUGUCUGGGAAACUGCCUGGUAGUGGGGGAUAACGUACGGAAACGGGAGCUAAUACCGCAUACUCUCAGGUGAGCCUAGGUCGGAUUAGCUAGUGGGUGGGGUAAAGGCCUACAAAGGCGACGAUCCGUAAAUGGUCUGAGAGGAUGAUCAGCCACAUGGGAACUGAGACACGGUCCAGAUUACUACGGGAGGCAGCAGUGGGGAAUAGUGGACAAUGGGCGAAAGCCUGAUCCAGCCAUGCCGCGUGUGUGAAGAAGGUCUUCGGAUUGUAAAGCACUUUAAGUUGGGAGGCGUUACCAACAGAAUAAGCACCGGCUAACUUCGUGCCAGCAGCCGCGGUAAUAC
rnacentral:rRNA from 1 species